AUGCAGCAGAAGCCCUGUUUCGUUACCCACAGAAGCUGGAAGGAUUCCUUUUUUUAUGCAACCCUCUGUCUCAUGAACACCAAAAUGCUGCCUUCUACCCCACUGUCUAACAGAACUUUGGAUGAAACAGGCUCUUGAAGUCCAUCACCAGACGUGCCUACAUUCCAGCAGUAAAUGUCACUUUUCUGGUUUCUAUAAGAGCUCUUUGAGGUGGUUCUCCAUUGUCCAGCUUGGAGGCCAGAGUGGUUUGGUCAAUAGCCAGGAAGCUGGAAUUCUGCCAAAAGAGUUCAGGGAACGUAGAUCUUCACUGUUGUUGAGCGAAGGCAGUGGAAACGGAGCUUUUCGGUUUAUGGAAGAACAUCAGCACAUUCUCCUCAGUAGGAUGCCAGACUCCAGGUCUCUGUGGAAGGUCAGCUCAGCUCCUUGUCUAGAUGCAACACUGUCCAAAGAAAAAGACAGCAGGAAUUUGAAACAGUUUUCAAGACAGCGAUUGAACAUGUACACAGUGAGAAGUGAAAAGGUGGUUCCCUAGCUCCUUUCCUCAGUAAGGUAUAUGUUUGUUUAUAAAGGUAUGAGGCUCGUUUGGUGGGGUGUGUGUGUGGGGGGGGGCAGUGAUUAAUUCUUCCACCUCCCAGGGAAAAAAAAAAAGUUCAGGCCUUGGCCUAAACGAGAAAAAUCAAAAUAGAGCAAUGCUAGUUUCACGGGAACCUCAAGACUAUCCUCCAACUGCAGUUGCCGCCUUUAAGAAAGUUUUUUUUUUUUUUCUGUUUUUUUGUAAUGAUUUUUAUUUUUUGCAUUACAGCUGGUUUACAGUGUUCUGUCAACUUUCUACUGUACGGCAAGGUGACCCAGUUACACAUACAUGUAUAUAUUCUUUUUUCUCACAUUAUCAUGCUCCAUCAUAAGUGACUAGAUAUAGUUCCCAGUGGUACACAGCAGGAUCCCAUUGCUCAUCUAUUCAAAAGGCAACAGUUUGCUUCCAAAGGCAAUAGUUUGCAGAAAGUUUAAUACCCAUUUAUCUAUUACCAAACGAGUAGACUGAAUUUCCUCCCUUAGGAAGUCUUCAACCAAAUGAAAGUUAAAUUAAUCUCACUUUAAAGUGCAACAAAGGAUAUAGGACCAGUGUUUUGUUCAGUGACACAUAAAAGAGAAGCAUCCCUCCAACAGCACUGGCCUAAGAGCUACUGCACUAGAUACUGGCCACAGAACCACGUGAUCCUCAGCAUCUUCCUAAAAGCACAGACUCCAGUUUCAGCGCAGAAAAGAGGAUCCCUUCCAAGUCUGCCUCUUAAGUGUACCCAGACCUCAACAGAUCUUGGGUCCCCCUCACUGAUGAGACUGGAGCACAAAGCGCCAGCACAGCCAGGAAGGCCAAAGUCAUCCACCCUAGUCAGUGAAGGCCCCCAUGUGUCCAUGCUCGUGUGGAGAGUGGCAAAGGAAUCAAGAAGCCUUGGUUUUGGACCAACACAAACAUCAUUUGUUCUGUGUUUAUAAAUGAUACCAAAAAUAAGUAAUGAGGUCCCCGUACACCU
rnacentral:lncRNA from 1 species